rnacentral:rRNA from 1 species
UACGUAGGCAGCGAGCGUUGUUCGGAGUUACUGGGCGUAAAGGGUGCGUAGGCGGUUGUUUAAGUUUGGUGUGAAAUCUCCCGGCUCAACUGGGAGGGUGCGCCGAAUACUGAAUGACUAGAGUGCGGGAGAGGAUAGUGGAAUUCCUGGUGUAGCGGUGAAAUGCGUAGAUAUCAGGAGGAACACCGGUGGUGAAGACGGGUUGCGGGGCCGACACUGACGCUGACAGCGCGAAAGCCAGGGGAGCAAACGGG